UGGAUCACCUCCUAACAGGGAGACAAACAACGAUUUUGAUGCCUGAGUGAAUUAUUCUUAGGCCAAGAUCCUGUCACCUUAGGUCGAUCGGUACCUCAACUUUGAAGUCAAGAAUGCAUAGCAAUAUGGAUUGCUUGAUGGAGAUUUUCAGUUCCUAAAUUUUGUCUAGGUCACACCCCACAAGGGUUGAGUUUUCCUGGGUCAUUAGCUCAGGUGGUUAGAGCGCACCCCUGAUAAGGGUGAGGUCCCUGGUUCAAGUCCAGGAUGGCCCAUUCGGUGUUGGGGGUUUAGCUCAGUUGGUAGAGCGCCUGCUUUGCAAGCAGGAUGUCAGGAGUUCGAGUCUCCUAACCUCCACUGACCGAACUCAACGUCCAGCUUUGCAUCGAAGGAUGGAAAGCGUCUCGAUUGUGAAGUGUGAUCUGGAACUGUCCGCUGGAUGAUCCCAGCUUCCUGUCAUUCCAAAGAGUGAGUGUGAACUCAGAAUUUGGUUGAUAAGACGCUGGGCUCAAAUAAGGAUGUUGAAUGAUCAACAUUUUUGUUUGAUGUCUGGCAGAACCUUGACAACUGCAUAGGUGAGUCUGGAAAAAACAAAGCAUCUCAUGGAUGCAUUGUUUUGAGUCUGAACAUUCGAAUGAAUGUUUGGAACCAGAGCAAUGAAAAUUCUUUUGAGCAAGAGCCGAGACUCUUGAACGUUCUUUGAUUUGUGUCGAGCAGAUCAGAGUUUGAUUGUAUUUUCAGUCAAAGUGAAAACUAAGAUUGAAAGUAUGAGAAUCUGUUUACAACGAUAGCAAGCGUUCAGAGAAUAAAUUGGUCAAGCUACAAAGGGCUCAUGGUGGAUACCUUGGCACACAGAGGCGAUGAACG
rnacentral:tRNA from 1 species